rnacentral:tRNA from 1 species
GAGCCGUUCCUGCACCGUGUAGCCGACGUUCGCAUCCUCCAUGGUAAGGAGGGGGUCGACGGUUCGAGUCCGUCAGAGGGCUCU